AAUUACCUACGAAGACUUCAAAUUACCUUUUUCUUAAAUGAUGAUGCAAAUAUGAGUCCGCCAAAUGACGUCUGUGAAAGUUAAAAUCAAAACAAAUCAGUGUCGAAAAGCCUUAUCUGUCAUCAGUCUCAAGCCACGAAGCCACUUUCAUUUGAUCCAGUCAUGCAGUGUAUAUUUUGUUUAAGUGCGUGGCAUUUUUCUUCAUCGUUCCAUGAUGAUGACAUUACUUUAUUUAUCCCCCUAUACAAUUCUUCUGGGAAAUUCCAACGAUAGUUUCUAAUGGACCUUUCAUUAUAUUAAUGUUUAAUGGGGGAAUACGUACCUAUUCACUGGAAGUCAACGUUUCCAGCUAAAAAACAUCCACCAGCUUUAAAAAGCGAAAAUCGAUUCC